CCCUUAGUAGCGGCGAGCGAAACGGGAAGAGCCCAAACCAACAAGCUUGCUUGUUGGGGUUGUAGGACACUCUAUACGGAGUUACAAAGGACGACAUUAGACGAAUCAUCUGGAAAGAUGAAUCAAAGAAGGUAAUAAUCCUGUAGUCGAAAAUGUUGUCUCUCUUGAGUGGAUCCUGAGUACGACGGAGCACGUGAAAUUCCGUCGGAAUCUGGGAGGACCAUCUCCUAAGGCUAAAUACUCUCUAGUGACCGAUAGUGAACCAGUACCGUGAGGGAAAGGUGAAAAGCACCCCGGAAGGGGAGUGAAAUAGAACCUGAAACCGUGUGCUUACAAGUAGUCAGAGCCCGUUAAUGGGUGAUGGCGUGCCUUUUGUAGAAUGAACCGGCGAGUUACGAUUUGAUGCAAGGUUAAGCAGUAAAUGUGGAGCCGUAGCGAAAGCGAGUCUGAAUAGGGCGUUUAGUAUUUGGUCGUAGACCCGAAACCAGGUGAUCUACCCUUGGUCAGGUUGAAGUUCAGGUAACACUGAAUGGAGGACCGAACCGACUUACGUUGAAAAGUGAGCGGAUGAACUGAGGGUAGCGGAGAAAUUCCAAUCGAACCUGGAGAUAGCUGGUUCUCUCCGAAAUAGCUUUAGGGCUAGCCUCAAGUGAUGAUUAUUGGAGGUAGAGCACUGUUUGGACGAGGGGCCCCUCUCGGGUUACCGAAUUCAGACAAACUCCGAAUGCCAAUUAAUUUAACUUGGGAGUCAGAACAUGGGUGAUAAGGUCCGUGUUCGAAAGGGAAACAGCCCAGACCACCAGCUAAGGUCCCAAAAUAUAUGUUAAGUGGAAAAGGAUGUGGCGUUGCCCAGACAACUAGGAUGUUGGCUUAGAAGCAGCCAUCAUUUAAAGAGUGCGUAAUAGCUCACUAGUCGAGUGACACUGCGCCGAAAAUGUACCGGGGCUAAACAUAUUACCGAAGCUGUGGAUUGUCCUUUGGACAAUGGUAGGAGAGCGUUCUAAGGGCGUUGAAGCAUGAUCGUAAGNACAUGUGGAGCGCUUAGAAGUGAGAAUGCCGGUGUGAGUAGCGAAAGACGGGUGAGAAUCCCGUCCACCGAUUGACUAAGGUUUCCAGAGGAAGGCUCGUCCGCUCUGGGUUAGUCGGGUCCUAAGCUGAGGCCGACAGGCGUAGGCGAUGGAUAACAGGUUGAUAUUCCUGUACCACCUAUAAUCGUUUUAAUCGAUGGGGGGACGCAGUAGGAUAGGCGAAGCGUGCGAUUGGAUUGCACGUCUAAGCAGUAAGGCUGAGUAUUAGGCAAAUCCGGUACUCGUUAAGGCUGAGCUGUGAUGGGGAGAAGACAUUGUGUCUUCGAGUCGUUGAUUUCACACUGCCGAGAAAAGCCUCUAGAUAGAAAAUAGGUGCCCGUACCGCAAACCGACACAGGUAGUCAAGAUGAGAAUUCUAAGGUGAGCGAGCGAACUCUCGUUAAGGAACUCGGCAAAAUGACCCCGUAACUUCGGGAGAAGGGGUGCUCUUUAGGGUUAACGCCCAGAAGAGCCGCAGUGAAUAGGCCCAAGCGACUGUUUAUCAAAAACACAGGUCUCUGCUAAACCGUAAGGUGAUGUAUAGGGGCUGACGCCUGCCCGGUGCUGGAAGGUUAAGAGGAGUGGUUAGCUUCUGCGAAGCUACGAAUCGAAGCCCCAGUAAACGGCGGCCGUAACUAUAACGGUCCUAAGGUAGCGAAAUUCCUUGUCGGGUAAGUUCCGACCCGCACGAAAGGCGUAACGAUUUGGGCACUGUCUCAACGAGAGACUCGGUGAAAUCAUAGUACCUGUGAAGAUGCAGGUUACCCGCGACAGGACGGAAAGACCCCGUGGAGCUUUACUGUAGCCUGAUAUUGAAAUUCGGCACAGCUUGUACAGGAUAGGUAGGAGCCUUUGAAACGUGAGCGCUAGCUUACGUGGAGGCGCUGGUGGGAUACUACCCUAGCUGUGUUGGCUUUCUAACCCGCACCACUUAUCGUGGUGGGAGACAGUGUCAGGCGGGCAGUUUGACUGGGGCGGUCGCCUCCUAAAAGGUAACGGAGGCGCUCAAAGGUUCCCUCAGAAUGGUUGGAAAUCAUUCAUAGAGUGUAAAGGCAUAAGGGAGCUUGACUGCGAGACCUACAAGUCGAGCAGGGUCGAAAGACGGACUUAGUGAUCCGGUGGUUCCGCAUGGAAGGGCCAUCGCUCAACGGAUAAAAGCUACCCCGGGGAUAACAGGCUUAUCUCCCCCAAGAGUUCACAUCGACGGGGAGGUUUGGCACCUCGAUGUCGGCUCAUCGCAUCCUGGGGCUGUAGUCGGUCCCAAGGGUUGGGCUGUUCGCCCAUUAAAGCGGUACGCGAGCUGGGUUCAGAACGUCGUGAGACAGUUCGGUCCCUAUCCGUCGUGGGCGUAGGAAAUUUGAGAGGAGCUGUCCUUAGUACGAGAGGACCGGGAUGGACAUACCUCUGGUGUACCAGUUGUCGUGCCAACGGCAUAGCUGGGUAGCUAUGUGUGGACGGGAUAAGUGCUGAAAGCAUCUAAGCAUGAAGCCCCCCUCAAGAUGAGAUUUCCCAACUUCGGUUAUAAGAUCCCUCAAAGAUGAUGAGGUUAAUAGGUUCGAGGUGGAAGCAUGGUGACAUGUGGAGCUGACGAAUACUAAUCGAUCGAAGACUUAAUCAA
rnacentral:rRNA from 1 species